rnacentral:lncRNA from 1 species
CUCAAUCCAACACCUCCUCAGGCCUCUUCGUCUCUAAAUAAGAAACCCUAGAAGCCGCCCUCAAAUUCUCUACACCACCUCUGUUGAUGGUGGGCUCCAAACCAUCCUGAAUUCAUACCACGCAAACCCCAAGCCCUUCUAAAUCUUAUCCCCAUAUCUAUUUUCCUAAAAUCUCAAGUAAUUCCGCAAAUUCCAAAUCUAGGAAGUUCAAACCCUAAUUUAUUUUAUUUUUCUAAUUUCGCACAAGUUUCAUCUCACUUUAACCAGUAACCUAUGUAAGUUGAUUGCUCUUGACGAGAUCAAUCGGUGGGCAUUGGUUUUGGUUCUUUCUGAGAUGCAAGAUUUUGACGAACUCGUAAGAUUCCAGCCAAAUGUCUACUCCCGCCAUCGUUCAUCGAUUCGUUUCAUUUGGUCAAGACAUUCCAGCGUGAAUUGGUACUUUCCCUUCUUUUUUCUUGUGACUUUUUUAUUGUAGUAUAUUUGAUAUUUUUUAAAUUUUAUUUUUAUUUGCUUCAUUUAUUUGUCUUGUUUUCUUUAUGUAGUGGAAUCCAUCUUAAUUUGGUAGUUAAAUUAGGUUUAAUCAUAAGAGUCUGGAUUGUUUAUUUGUUUUCUAUUUUCUGAAUUUGACCUUUUUUUAUUUGAUAAUUUCUAAUUGUUUGGGUUUUUGUAUUGGCUGUGGUCAUUAUUGACCUGGCUGAGAGACCCGUUCAUUUGUGUCCGUGGGUUAAUUUGACCCAGGUUGGCAUUCUGAAUGUAAAAACAUGGAUGUCAAGGGGUAUUUUGACAUUUGGUGUUUGAGGGAAUCAUUUUCUGUUAGGAGAAUGCUUCUAGGGGAUAAGAUGAUAGUUGGUUUGAGAAGAGCAGAGGGUUUUAGAUAUUUUAAAAGAGGUAAAAAAGGAUAAAACAACCAAGAAUUCGAGGUUGGAAAGGGAAUUGGUUGGUUGGACUAGGGCUGCCUUAGGCAUGCUUAUAUAAGACCUUUUUCCCGUCAUUUUUAAGCAGCCUUUCAUACUUUAGAGAUACUAAAAAUUUCCUGCAUUUUGUUGGUUAAAACUUGCUUUGGUUCUGCUCUUGAUCUUCAUAGAUAGUCAGAAUUUUCCAAACUUCCAUAGAAUUUCUGUUGUCUAGGUUACAAAUGAUCUAAGGAAAUUGAGAUUACAUGUGCUGAAUUGAUGAUUUACAUUCUGCUAUUGGUGCCUAUUUCUUCAUUUUUCUUUUGCUCUAAACUUUGUCCCGGAUGUCUCUUGGACAUUAUCAAAUGUGAAGCUCAAACUUGAAGUAUGUUAAUUGAAUGUAUAUAUCUAAGCAUUAGUAUCAGCUUGAUGCAAUUUAGAAUCUAUCUUUUUUUUAUGCAUUUCAGUAGUUGAUACUGUAAUUUGUUCUUGUAUUCACUCAUUCUAUUGAUAAUAUGUUCCAUGAUAGGUUUGUGUUUGGACUUUAACUUUUCAUGAUAUUGGUUUGGCUAAAACUUUCCUUGUUAAGUAUAUAAUGUCUGGGCUAUUGUAGCAGGGGUUUUGGGACUCAUCUUGAUGGGUUAUGUUUAGUUCAAGUUAGUAAUGAAGUUCAGCUCGAGAUUAACUCGUAUCAUGACUCUGUUAUUUUAGGAUAUUAGUUGUAUUACUUGAAUAAAUCUAGGAACCACUGUUGAAUUGUAAUACUUAGUUCAAUAUCUGAGGUAUUUUAUUACACGUAUGAAUUCAAUGGUAGCUUAGUAGUAGUUUCAAUUCUCAAAUGUAUAUGGCCUGCAACUAAUUUUAGCAAAUGAUCUCCAUGUUCAGUAUUGUACCUAAGGCAAUAAGUUUAUAAAUGGGCCUAUUGAGUUAGCUUGCCUAAUAUGAGGGCCGAAACUGUCAGAUCCAGUUCUCUUUUGUUCUUGAGCCCAAUCUUAGGCCCAAGGGUCAUUAGCCUUGGCAUAUCAUGUGACCGUUUGGAUUCAUAUACUAGAAUGCAUUUUUGUUGUUCUCCUUUUGGCUUCAUUUUGGUUCGAAGUCGGCUCUAACUUGUUAAGUGUUUUAUAUGAUGACAAUGAAAUAUACCCCUUCUUUACUGGGAUUUCAUUACUAAAUGGUUGGGUUUAAGGCUAGUCAAUGCCGGCCAAAUCAGGUGUGUUUUGCCCUCCCUGUCUCCCCAUUUAGUUUUGUCUAAGCCCAAUCCCUAUUAGACCAUUUGCUCUCGUUUUUUCUGCAAUAAUUUAGGUUUGUAAUUGGCCCCCCAAAAAUAGUUGAAGGACUAGCAUGUAUCUCAAGUUUUUUACCGGCAGUU